CAUGCAGUCGAGCGAANGACGAGGAGCUUGCUCCUCUGACGUUAGCGGCGGACGGGUGAGUAACACGUGGAUAACCUACCUAUAAGACUGGGAUAACUUCGGGAAACCGGAGCUAAUACCGGAUAAUAUAUUGAACCGCAUGGUUCAAUAGUGAAAGACGGUUUUGCUGUCACUUAUAGAUGGAUCCGCGCCGCAUUAGCUAGUUGGUAAGGUAACGGCUUACCAAGGCAACGAUGCGUAGCCGACCUGAGAGGGUGAUCGGCCACACUGGAACUGAGACACGGUCCAGACUCCUACGGGAGGCAGCAGUAGGGAAUCUUCCGCAAUGGGCGAAAGCCUGACGGAGCAACGCCGCGUGAGUGAUGAAGGUCUUCGGAUCGUAAAACUCUGUUAUUAGGGAAGAACAAAUGUGUAAGUAACUAUGCACGUCUUGACGGUACCUAAUCAGAAAGCCACGGCUAACUACGUGCCAGCAGCCGCGGUAAUACGUAGGUGGCAAGCGUUAUCCGGAAUUAUUGGGCGUAAAGCGCGCGUAGGCGGUUUUUUAAGUCUGAUGUGAAAGCCCACGGCUCAACCGUGGAGGGUCAUUGGAAACUGGAAAACUUGAGUGCAGAAGAGGAAAGUGGAAUUCCAUGUGUAGCGGUGAAAUGCGCAGAGAUUUGGAGGAACACCUNUGGCGAAGGCGACUUUUCUGGUCUNUANUUGAUCUUGAUGUGUGAAAUCGCUNGGAUUNAACAGGUUAUAAAUAUCCUUGGU
rnacentral:rRNA from 1 species